rnacentral:rRNA from 1 species
CGUAAGGCGCCGAAUGAGUCAUUAAAAAAUUAACAUCAUCCGAUCCCUAGUCGGCAUAGUUUAUGGUUAAGACUACGACGGUAUCUGAUCGUCUUCGAUCCCCUAACUUUCGUUCUUGAUUAAUGAAAACAUCCUUGGCAAAUGCUUUCGCAGUAGUUAGUCUUCAAUAAAUCCAAGAAUUUCACCUCUGACAAUUGAAUACUAAUGCCCCCAACUAUCCCUAUUAAUCAUUACGUCGAUCCUAGAAACCAACAAAAUUAGAAUCAAACGUCCUAUUUCAUUAUUCCAUGCUAAUGUAUUCAAGCGCGAGCUUGCUUUAAACACUCUAAUUUUUUCAAGUACAGUCCUGAUUUCCCAUGACACCAAAUUAAUGACAUCGUGGUUCGUCAGAAGGGAGAAACCAAUAAUGCUAGUACGUACAAAGUACGACCGACAUAUUAGUCCCGAAAUUCAACUACGAGCUUUUUAACUGCAACAACUUUAAUAUACGCUAUUGGAGCUGGAAUUACCGCGGCUGCUG